AACCUUGUGCAUGUAGGGAAUGAGCAGAAAAGAUGUCAAAAACCAGCUGUGGUUAUAACCUCAUCAAGCGCUCCAGUUUCAAAUCUUUUACCUGCUGGAAGUCUAUAAAAAAAUCAUAAUUUUUUACCCUUUUCCAUUUUUUAUAAAAAGGUGGAUAAUUUACACUUUUACAGGUAGUGGAAUCUUCUCAAGAUUUUUUACCUCUUCUAUUACUCACAACGGAUCGCCCCCCUGAGCUUUUGGAAAGUGGAGCCAACCAAGCAAUUAACCAACUUAUAUAUCUAGAAAGGAACACACAGUACUUUUGAACAACAAGAAUGGGCAGCUAAAAUUGUUGAUUCUUUGAAGGUAUAAUGUCCUUAUUCAGACAACAAUUAAUGUGAAAAAAGAAAGAAUUCAAUAAUCAAAUACUUUUUUGAUGAUUUUUUUAUGUUGUCUUUGAUGAGCAUGGGGUAUAAUCAAAAUUCCAAAAUGAAGGAACAGAAAGCUGAUCAACGUUUUGGCUUGGAUUUGGAGGGAACCAAAGCUUCACUAGCACCAAAGUAUCACUGGAGACUUCUAGAUUUCCUCACUUGUUUGCAUUCUCGCUUAUUAAAGGUUUCAAUUUCACAAACAUAUAAUAAUACCACUUUAGUUUUACUUUUUUUUUCUUUUAUUAUUAUUGUUAAUUAAGAUUGAAGAAGUUUACAACUUUGAUCAAGAUGACCUGUUGCCCGAGGAUAUGUUGAUAUUAGAUACACAUGCUGAGGUGUUCGUUUGGAUCUCAUGAUGGAUUGUCGCCACAUGGAACAGGCACGCCAAGUUGAUCAGGCACGCCAAGUUGACGCAAAUAAGAAUCCAGAUGAUCCUCAAGCUGCAGAAAGAUUUCAGGAAAGUAUUUGAUCCUUCAUUAGAAAAUAAAAGGUAACUAUAAAGGGUAUUUCUGGCUGAAUGAGUACGAAACUAAGGGCAUUUAUGGAAAUCAUAGAUUACUGCAGCAAAAGGUAACUAUAAAGGGUUAAUUGCAAGAAAAAAAAGUACAAUUGAUGUAAUGGAAAUAAAUGAAAGCAUGAUGAUGUAAUCUACAAAGAGAUAAAGGUAGAUUGCUAUCGCUUGUAACUAGUACUAAAAAAAUGUUAUCUUAAUUUACUUUUUUUUUUCUUUUGGAUGAAUUUGAUUUUAGAAAUACAUAGAAUGGGCUGGAUCUCUUGAUGGAUUGUCGCCAUAUGUGCCAUUAUACAAAGUAAUGGAGGAAAAUGAACCUUGUUUCUUCACAACAUAUUUCUCAUGGGAUCCUUCUAAACCAUCAUUGCUGUUGCUGAUUGGCUUCAAGAGUUAUAAUGAAUGAUGAGACUGUGCAUCAGUUGUGUAAACAGGCUGUUUCACAGUACACUAUAGAGGAGAAAGUCAUUGAAAGAGCUUAUAAAAAGCUUGCACUUGAUGCUUUGGUUAUUCAACAAUGACGUUUAGCUGAGCAAAAGACUAUAAACAAAGAUGAGAUGCUACAAAUGAUGAGGUUUGGUGCUGAAAUGGUAUUCAAUUCAAAGGAUAGUACAAUCACAGAUGAAGAUAUCGAUAGAAUCGUUGCUAAAGGAGAAAAGGCGACUGCUGGGCUGUUGGAAGUUGGAACUUUGUGAAUGAUUUUGUAAAUGCUGGCUUUGGUCAGGUAUUUAAUAUUUUCAACUACUUUUGUCAAAAUAAAUAAAUAAUCUAAUAAUUCAAUUUAUGUUUCUCUUUUUAAGGAUAAACUAAAGAGGUUCAUAUGGCCUUCUAGUUGGAGAAAUAAAGUUGAUCUUGCAUUAGGAGAUAUACAUGUUGCAAAGUGUAUCAAGUCUGACUACCCAUGUGUCCCACUGGAGGAAGCUCAAGGUUCUUUACUUCUCUUACAAUGUAAUAAUCCAUCUUCACACAUAUUUUGUAUUUUCUUUUCUUUUCUUUUUUUGCAGGUAAUAUAGAUACUUUGAGCAAGUUCAUAGAUUUAGAGUCAUUGAGUGGUGUUACUAAGGAAGAGUGGACACAAUUGAGGCACACAUUUAAAAAAAUCAGCACAAAUCUUGUUUAUAGUGAGGCACACAUUAGGUUACUAGAACUAUUAGUUUGUAAAUUUUUGUUACAACUCUACUGAUUUGUUUUAUCUUUUUAUGGAACGAUUAUUUGUAUGACAUUAAAUCUUAUGCAAUGGAUUGUAUUUUUUGUA